UGUGACUCUUUAUUUCGCAAUUUUUAUUAUUCUAAGUUUAGUACUGUCAUUUCCUACAUUUUUAUGGUCAUUGAACGUCACAUGUCACAGCAGACUUCCAGGCUGAGACACAUGUGUGUCGUCAGUCUGUUGUCUUCCACGUGACGAUUUAUGAAUGUUAAGAAGGCUGAUUGGAGACUCACUAUGAUUGUUUUCACCAGGUACUGUGUAUUAUUUUGUCGUGCGUUAAUGUGUUAGUCAGUCUGUUGUCUUCCACGUGACGAUUUAUGAAUGUUAAGAAGGCUGAUUGGAGACUCACUAUGAUUGUUUUCACCAGAAUAAACCAUGUUUGAGUCGGAAGAA